UAGGUUAGACUUAAGGAUCGUGUUUAGUUUGGUUUGAAGAUUCAAUAGCAUUUAUUUAUUACUUCUGUGAGAAAGUGGUAUUGUGAUUUAUGUGUGACUGAUUCAUGACUUAUCUGUAACUAAUUCAUGUUUUGGUUUGUGUAUUUGAAAGGUUAUCAACCUAUACGUACUGCCCCACACUGAUCUAUCAAGUCACCUUCAAGAAACUAUACCAUAUUAUUCCAUCACUGGUCUAUCAAACCAUCUCAAAGAAAAUAAAGAAUCAAGAAGUGAAAAGAUUGAGUUGUCCUUUGCGUUCUUCAGAGAGAGAAGCAGUUUUCAAGUUUGGGCUGAGCUGUAAUCAAUUAAAAACACACAGAACUUGACAACUACAGAAUCCAGGAGGUCACAGAAGCCUGCAACAUCAAGGCCGUAAUACAGACUUCUCUGUGCCAAUCCUGACACAAAGUGGGUGCAAAAAGCCAUGAACUCUGUACCACAAAAACUUUGAGCAGCAGAUCACCUGAGGAAAUCAACUUAAAGGCUCAAAGACACAUGAGAUGAAUUUAUUAUAUUAAAAUAAAUGAAUCCUCUAUUUUUGUAUUACUUUCAAUGUAUUUCUUCAAAUAUAUUAAUUUAGCGCCAAUAAAUGGAAUAUUUUAUUAAUAAGGUUCUGUUUAUCUGUAUAACUAACUGGAUCUUAUGCUUUUGUAGGAAUGAUUUUAUUUCAAUUUCUGUACAGCCAAGCUACAAAGGUUUGCUGAAGUAAACAAGUAUUACUAGCUUGUAAAUCUAACAAGAAUCUGUGUAAACCUGCUUGGAACUCUUUAAUACAGUCUUUCACUGAGUCAAGAUUGAUUUUGAUAUGCAUUUUCUUUUAACAAUGUGGACAGUUUAUACAUCAAGUAUUGAGUUUGUGGUUGCCGUCAAUUAAUGGACUUCUGGGCCUACUAGGCCUCUGACAUACAGGCCUGACUGGAUAUCAAAAUCUCAAACAUAUGUCACUUCCUGGUACAUCUUGGUAACACAGGCCAUGCCUCCUAAACCCGCUAAAGCAAUCCUUUAAUGAUUCACUGGUCACAGUGAGUGCACUCUCCUGGUUAGGUCUGGCAGAGAGAAUACAAAGACAUGUUACCUCAUCAGCAAGAAAAACUUGAUCAUCAUCAUUUUAAGUACGAUAAGCUGGUCAUCAUGCCCUAUAUUAUAUUUCUAUAAUAAAAAGAUUUUGUCCUAUUCUUAA